GUGUAGUAUGAAAGGAGAGACGUUUAGCACUCCCCUAGACAAGGAUGGAACACAUAUAAAUGGUAAGGCACUUGCCACUAAGGUGGCUCUUACCACAUUUUUUU